ensembl:lncRNA
UUGAAUGGCAAUAUAGGGGCAAAUCACUUCAAAGGAGUCAGCCCUCGAAAGCUUCUCAAAAUAGAUAUUUCAGCAGCCUCUUAAAAUGGAGGGAGUCAGAUGUAACUCCAUUGGGAGGCAAUUCCAAAGAGAUGGUGUGACUGCAGAGAAGAUCCAACUUCUUGUUGAGAAUUUUCUGGCCUCCAUAGCCACCUGGAGGACCAAAGCCUGAGAGAAUCUGGCGGCAUGGGAAGAUGAUUAUGAACUAUCCUCAAAAGCAAGCCAGACAUGAUGGCCACACAACCCUUUGGAAAGAUUAUUUAGUUUAGUCAGAGUAAUCUACUACUACUACUACUACUACUACUACUACUACUACUACUACUACUACUACUACUACUACUACUACUACUACUACUACUACUACUACUACUACUAAUAAUAAUAAUAAUAAUAAUAAUAAUAAUAAUAAUAAUAAUAAUAAUAAUACAGCUUCUACUGCUUCAUAUUCAGGAUUUGGAUGGUAUCUUGACAACAAAUCAAUCACUGAAUCAUUAGUUCCCUAAUUUCAAAUGUUCUCCUUUUCUACUGUGAAAAUAAGAAAGCAGGACAAAUUCUAGACAGUGCAUUUGAUAACUCAACUAAUAAUAAACUCAAAAGCUGUGAAUGGAUCUUCUUUUCCCGUAAGCAAGAACUGAUGUAAAAGUUCCUCAAGGAGUUUUGUCUUUCUUAUGCAGGGAUUCAAAGUUGCUAAAUAUCUUGAGAGAGAUUAUGUGGCAUUUAUGUUGCACGAGGAACAAGGAAGGCCUAGAAAUCUCAAAGCAAAAAGCUGUUAUUGGACACAGUUUUUAAGUAAAGCUAGGUGACCGUUUUGAGGACCGAAGCUACCAACAUGAAUUUGACCCAACUGCGGGAGGCAGUGGAAGACAGGAAGGUCUGACGUGCUCUGGUCCAUGGGGUCAUGAAGAGUCGGACACGACUAAAUGACUGAACGAUGAUGAGGUCCCCGUGCAAAUUUACACAAGGAAUUACUUGGUAAGAAAGAAGGACUUACCUGCCGUGUGGUUUUAUCACCUCUAUUUCAGGGGUUGUAGAAUCAAUCACCAAUUUUUGCCUCUAUAGAGGUUGCAAGCAUUCACCAUAAAGCUUUUGGUGUACAGAGAUAAAGGACCUAUUUUAUUAUUUUUGAGAGAGAGAAAAAAGAUCUUGUUUAAAAUUUGUACAGUAACUGAUAAUAACUACCUCCUUGUUUAGGCCACUGAACUAUAAUUCACAAAGAGUUUUUAAAAGUAACUUUCCAAGCUUUAUCUUUAUGUAGCUCAGUGGUCCAUCUGCCUGUGCUUGCAACAGGAAAAGAAUUACCUGAGUGAAAGGCAACACAGAUUCCAAUCCCAGUGCCUGUGCAAAUAUAUCCAUGUCUGCCUGGCUCCCUCCUGCUGAUCUGUCCCUCCACAGCAGUCUUGUGAUCUUGCAGCUCAGCUGCUGAACUUUCACUGUUUCAUCCAGGGACCCGCUUCUGGUUCUGGCUGUGCUAAUUUCCUGGCUUUGAAGCAUAGCCCUGUGUGUGUAUGACUGCCAUCUAUUGGGCAGUAUUAAAAGUCAAUCAAAGAUAUCUUUCUUGUGAUAUACAAUAAAGAUUAUUCUUUAACAGGGAAAUUGCUUCCA